rnacentral:antisense_RNA from 1 species
UUUUUGAUUUUCUGGCUUUAUUGAAAGUGGACUAUUGAAGUCUCCUACUGUUAUUAUUAUUAUUGAAAUGGAGUCCUGCUCUGUCACCCAGGCUGGAGUGCAGUGGCAAAAUAUCGGCUCACUGAAACCUCCGCCUCCCGGGUUCGAGUGAUUCUCCUCCCUCAGCCUCCUGAGUAGGUGAGAUUACAGGUCAUAGAAUUUUCCACACUCCUUGACGGAGGUUCUUAACCCUUAUCCAUCAGCAUUCUCAGACAGCACCUCCGGUUAGGGACAGUAUCUGACCGUCCGACAUCCCUGCAGCCCCCAUGCUGUCACACAGACUCAGCCUCAGGUAGAUGGUUUCCGUAGAUGGUGGCUUUCUUUGGACCCUUGAUAUCAACCAGUUACUAUUUGACUCUUCUGCAGAACCCCAUGUUGACCCCUGCUUUGAGGUGGCAGCGUUAACACUACUCUUUGUUAUAAGCUCUCGUCUGGGGCAACUCAGGAGAACGGGACCAGAUGUGCAGAGGUAAUGAAUACCAGGGAAUCAGGAAACCACUGGAUCAGUUCUUUGAGCCAUAGAACAACACUCAUCCCAGCAGCUGGGAAGCUAUCUGCAAAAGUCCAUCUGCAGAAAGGGCUUCCUGGUCUUGCGUGUGGCUGGGCCAUUUCUCUGGAUGCAGGUUUUUCAUUAUACAGUCUUCUCAAAGGACCACCUGCUCUCAA